GUUUCCCCUGACGUUAAGUCCAGUCAUGUCUGACUCCGGGGGUUGGUGCUCAUCUCCAUUUCUAAGCCGAAGAGCCGGCGUUGUCCAUAGACACCUCCAAGGUCAUGUGGCCGGCAUGACUGCAUGGAGCGCUGUUACCUUCCCGCCGGAGUGGUACCUAUUGAUCUACUCACAUUGGCAUAUUUUGGAACUGCUAGGUUGGCAGGAGCUGGAGCUAACAGCAGCCGCUCACGCCGCUCCCGGGGUUUGAACCUGGGAUCUUUCAGUCUCCAGCUCAGUGCUUUAACGCACUUCGCCACCCGGGGUUCCCAAAAGCAUAACUUAUAUAAAAUGAGUGUGUGCUUAUUUAUAUAAAAAGUGCAAAUUUAGAAAUAAUGUCCAAAAUUGAAAUAUAAGGAAAAUAGUGGCUGCAGUUACAAACAUGUAACCUAGAGUUGUGGCUGGUUCAUGCUCAUGAUCCCUAUGUAUUCAACAUUGCAGUGGCGCAAUGGGUUAAGCCCUUGUUCCAGCUGGAUUGCUGACCUGAAGGUUGGGUUGCUGACCUGAAUGUUUCCAGUUCGAAUCCGCGAGAUGGGACACCCCUGGGAGGCUCUCAGACGCAAGCUUAAACCAACUCACCAUCUAAGAGAGUUUAAUCUAAACAUCUGCAGCCUCUACACAUUCUGCCACCCCUAAAGUGUGAACAUCACCUACUUCGCCUUUUUGCCAUCUUGCCUGAUAAACACUUCUGGAUAAGCCAAAAGCUUGCACUUUAUUUUGAGCAACUUGAGAAACUGCAAAUCGCUUCUGGUGUGAAAGAAUUGGCCGUCUGCAAGGACUUUGCCCAGGGGACGCCCAGAUGUUUUGAUGUUUUAUCAUCCUUGUUGGAGGCUUCUCUCAUAUCUCCGCAUGGAGCUGGAGCUGAUAGAAGGAACCAUCCACACUCUCCAAGUUGACCCAACAGGUGCUUCAUGGGAUAGACCAUGCAGAUCCAGAAGAAGUUUUUAUAGUCACUUAUGGAUCCACCGCCAAGACUCUACUUCUGAAAGACAAUCAUACUGGGCCACGAGGGAUCACAGAUGAUGAUGAAGAAGAAAUUGAUCCAGGUUUUUCAGCUUGACUUUUUAACAAAAUUUCUACACUGGUGCAUAAAUAUAUUGAGUACUCCCCAACAACAUACUUCCUCUACUCCCAGUUAUACCACACUUAGAAUAAUACAAAGCAUAGGCAGCUAUAAUAAAGAGACAGAAAGAAACUUGCCCUUUAGCAAAAUAUCAUACAUGAAUGAUGUCAUUCACACAUAUUCCAGACAGUCCCAAAGCCUGUGAUUUUCAGAUAUGAGAAACUAUACUUUAAAAGAUGGGGAAUCUCAUCAUUUCACAAUGAUGCACCCCUGGGCUGCAGAGUCAUCUCAAAACCACACUGGAACCCUGGAUUAUAAGCGAAGCAAGUUGUUUAUUGAAGAAUAUAUGUAAGCAAUAGCAAAGCAAAGUUCAAAGUCAAGGAAACAAGGUUUAGUCCAUCAGGUAUAAGGUACUUGAAAAUCUUGAAGCAGGGGUCCAUGAAAAUCAAACACAAGAAUAAACUUCAACAAGGUAUUAAAAUUAAUCCAAGGUACAGGAUCUAAACUGGAACAAAGAGCAGUGUCUUUAACUGGAACAAGGGAUCCAAACUGCAAGCUUUCAGAAACAAUGACUUAACAAUCCAAAAUCCCCAGAAGCAAUAACAGGAACUGGAACAAAACUCAAGAUACAAGGCUACAGGAACUUGGCAUGAAAGACCACAGGAAUAUGAAACAAGAUUCCUUGAAACAAGCAUGAAACAUGAGUCCAUGAAACAGGAACAGCACUCUCGGUGAGCAAAGUUACCAUCUCUGAAAAUCUCCUUUAGAAGUGGCUCCUCUUAAAGCUGAAAUCAAGACCCCUUUCUGUGGGAAAUUUGCUCAAAACCCUUUCUCAUUAGCAACCAUCUGCUCCUUCUCAAAACCUCCCUUUCUUGUCUUUGUUGACAUAUUGCUUUCUUUCUGUCAACCUCAUUACUCUUAUCACAACUGGAAUGCUGAUCUGCCAAGGGAAAACUCGACCUUGACUCUCCCAAGGAAUGCAGUUCAAGCUGCCUGCUUGAAACCAUUGUCUGCUUACUCCCAUAAUCCUCUGGAACAAACUCAGGCUGUCCAGGAACACCAGUUCCCAUACAACUCUAGCUGCAUGGGAAUCCUAGGCCCCAAUCCAGAUUCAUCUGACAGGUCAGGUGCAGAUACAAUCACAGGCUGAACAGGCCCAAUGUCAGGCUCACUUGACAGCUCCAGAUCCCAUCAGAUUUUGAAAGCCAUGCAGGGCCAGUCCUGGUUAGUACUUGAAUGAGAGACAAUUAAUGAGUCCUGUAGGCUAUAUUUUAGAGGAAGGAACCGGUAAAACCACAUUUGAGUAUUUCUUGCCUUAAAAACCCUAUCAAAUUCAUGGGGUGGGCGCCAUAAGCCAACCAGCAACUUGAAGGGGGGCUCACAGGACACAAUGGUAAUUUCAUGCUUUGCUAGCUACAUCCGUUUUAAAAAUCAGAAGCCCAUAUGAAGCAAAGCUCUAUGGUUUUCUCUAAUGUGAUUUCUGUAGAAAUGAGAUAUUCUGAAACAAAGGAUAUGAAAAGAAUUUCAUAUUUUAAUUUUGAAAUCUCCAGCUUCCUACAUUUCUAUAAUAUUCCUGUGAUGUCUGAUUGUAAUACAACUCUACAGUAAUAUAACCUCUUUCCUGACAGUGUAACCACAAUUUUAAAAGGAUUCAUAUCAAAGAAGCCAGAAUACAGAACUUCCAAAGUCAUCUUAUGUAUCUGCUCUCAUUUCCCCCCCCAACUUCUAGCUAUUCAAAGGGGUCUUUGUUUUCUGAUUUCUCCCUUCUAAUUCUUUGUACUAAGUUCCCUUUGUUGUUUUUGCAAUAAUUUUUCUUCUACCUUGCAAGAUGCUUCAUAAUCCUUACUUGAAAGUUAGUAUGUUAAGAUAAUAAUAAUCAAUUUAAUUACAAAACAGCCUUUGAAUUGCAUACUUUUUAUAAUGUGGUUGGAAACAGCAUAAUUGUUGUUUUUGUUUCAAGAACCAAUUUUAAUGGUUGUUGUAUGAAGAGUUGUGCCAAUUCUUGGAGGUUUGGAAAAGGAUUUUUCAGGUGACUAUCUAGCCCUUGUUAGUAUAGCUAUAGGUCUUGCUAGUUGGGCGAUCCUGGGAGUUUUAGUAAAAAGAAGUAAGUUCUUCAAGCUCCAAGGAUGUCAGAUUGACAAAAGCUAUCCUCCAAUGUCAUGGUGCUGUGCAGUUUUGUAAUGAUAUCAAUUUAAUACUCGAUUUUAAAAAAUGUUCUUAGUCUUACCAAUCUCCUUAAUAAAAAAAUUAUGCGGCAUAAAUAUCUUUGUUCUCUUCUAGGCGAACUAGUGAAGAGGAAAACAGUGGGUUCUUUAUAACUCUGCUGGAUUUUGCUUCUAGGACAUACACACACCCUGUGUGGCUAACAAAAUCCAUGGAUGUCCAAGUUCCAUUAUAUACAGUGGCAUAAUGAAAGGGUUUUCCCUUAUAAAAAUGGUAAAAUCAAGGGUUGCUUAGUCAUCUCUGGGUGGACUGAAGAGUUGGGAAUUGAGAGCAGGGUGAUAGCUGACCAAUACAGAGUCUCUCCUAAAAGAAAUGCAUCCUUUGGAGAUAGUACUGGGGGCAGAUUAUCCAUAUGAACCACCACUAUGUCUUAAGUAUCAACAGUGCUAUCAUACGAUGUUUAAAAGUCUGCAUAUACCAUAAAGAGAGACAGGGCCUUCUCAGUGGUCGCCCUUUAUCUAUUGAAUUCCCUCCCCAAUGAAAUUAGAUCGCCCCCCUCCCUUCUGUGCUUCAGAAAAAAACUAAAAACAUGGCUUUGGGACCAGGCUUUUGGUCAAUAAUGGAAGCAGUGAAAUAAUAGACUAUAAAUUAAUUUAAUGAUAACCUGGACUGGCCCUGGAAUAUGACCUGGGUUAUGUGAUUUUAAUUCUUGUUUUAAUGUUAUGUUUUAAUUGGUUGGUUUUAAUGUUUUUAUUUACUCAUUGAUGUAUGUCUAUAUGCGGCAUUGAAUUGUUGCCUUUGUAAGGCUGCCUCGAGUCCCUUUGGAGUUGAGAAAGGCAGGAUACAAGUAUGGUAUAUUUGUAUAUGCAUAUUUAUAUAUUUUGCAUAGCUUUUGAAAUAUACUCAGAAAAUAUGCUGGAGUUUCCUAAGGUUGACUGUGUAAGCCCGCCUUCUGAAAUGAAGAUAGAUAUCAACACACUCUAAGCAACAGCAGUAUCAGCCACCAAUGUCUUCAUCUGGUCACUUAAAGUGCCUUGAUUAGAUAGUUUACAAUUCUUUGAUUACCAUUUAAACAUGCAGGAAAAGAUUGUACCUCCCUCCAGCACCUCUGUAAUGGAAUCCUAAAUAUCUUCCCACAAGGUAUCAAAGAACAGCCUCAUUAACUGUAAUUACAAGUCAUUUUGAAUUAAAGGGAAGUAAAUAACAUGUAUAUCCUAAUGCUCAGCUUUCACUGUAGGCUGUGUUUGCGUAAAUAAAGUGAAGACAGGAGAACAGAAAUCUGUGUUGCUAUGAUUGCAAAGGGCAAAAUCAGAGAAUCCAGCUCUGUUUCUUUCUAGCAGAAAAUGCUGGUCUCCUUUCCUGUGGGAAAUGUUUCUGUAAACAUAGAUGGCACCAGGGUGGUCAAAAUGUUCCACCCUGUGCAGUCACCUCAUAUGGUCCCCCAUAGUGUUCCAGUUGUGUAGUUUUCAUGCUACUUAUAUGCCACACUAAAUUAUUGUAAGGUUUGCUUAGAAAUGUAUUAAUUUUAGAUCAGUCUGUUCUUAGCAUGGCGGGUGGGAAAAUUAACAACAAAUUAUUAACUCACCUCCUUUAAAACAAAUACAAGGCUGGUGGCCUGGUUGUGAAUUAUGGUGAUGUAAAUCAGAUUUAUACCAUGACAAACUCACUUUUAUGGUCAUCGUGUAGCUUGGAAAUCUUUUAUGAUCACAAAACAACCAUUUCCAUGUUUUGAGGGACAGGUGAGCAGGGAUGCAUCCAACUACUGUAUUUUCAUGUGGUUGGAUGGAGUGCAAAAACACCAUAUGUCUCUGUAGAGAGGGUACCUUCAGGAGAAAUAUAUGAUAUGUGUAUAUCUCUUGAUGUAGAAUCUGUUUUCUGUGGAUUGCUGAAUGAAAAUGCAUUAUGGAUCACAUUCAAGCUACUAGAGAAAUAAAUAAAUAGUAAGAUUGCAGAUUAUUUGACACUUGUUACAUACAACAUAGCUUCAUAACUCAUCUUUUAUUUUGUAACUCCGGGUGCUGUUGUUUUUAACUAUGAAUAUGUUUUGAUGGAUUUUAACUGAAUUUUUUUAUUGCUGUUUGUGUUUAAUUCUGUUUCAAUGUUUGCAUAUUUGUAUAUUUUAAAUUGUAUACUAAUAUUUUUAUGUCUUUGAGUCCCCUUUGGGAGAAAUAAAGCAGAAUAUAAAUGUU